CCCAGUUACGAUGUCGAUUUGGAGGUUGUGCCCUUGAGGCGUGGCUUCCGAAGCUAACGCGUUAAAUCGACCGCCUGGGGAGUACGGCCGCAAGGUUAAAACUCAAAUGAAUUGACGGGGGCCCGCACAAGCGGUGGAGCAUGUGGUUUAAUUCGAUGCAACGCGAAGAACCUUACCUACUCUUGACAUCCAGCGAAUCCUGUAGAGAUACGGGAGUGCCUUCGGGAACGCUGAGACAGGUGCUGCAUGGCUGUCGUCAGCUCGUGUUGUGAAAUGUUGGGUUAAGUCCCGCAACGAGCGCAACCCUUAUCCUUUGUUGCCAGCGGUUCGGCCGGGAACUCAAAGGAGACUGCCAGUGAUAAACUGGAGGAAGGUGGGGAUGACGUCAAGUCAUCAUGGCCCUUACGAGUAGGGCUACACACGUGCUACAAUGGCGUAUACAAAGAGAAGCGAACUCGCGAGAGCAAGCGGACCUCAUAAAGUACGUCGUAGUCCGGAUUGGAGUCUGCAACUCGACUCCAUGAAGUCGGAAUCGCUAGUAAUCGUGGAUCAGAAUGCCACGGUGAAUACGUUCCCGGGCCUUGUACACACCGCCCGUCACACCAUGGGAGUGGGUUGCAAAAGAAGUAGGUAGCUUAAC
rnacentral:rRNA from 1 species